UACGUAGGGGGCUAGCGUUGUCCGGAAUCAUUGGGCGUAAAGAGCGUGUAGGCGGCUCGGUAAGUCCGCUGUGAAAGUCCAGGGCUCAACCCUGGAAUGCCAGUGGAAACUGUCGAGCUAGAGUCCGGAAGAGGCGAGUGGAAUUCCUGGUGUAGCGGUGAAAUGCGCAGAUAUCAAGGAGGAACACCAAUGGCGAAGGCAGCUCGCUGGGACGGUACUGACGCUGAGACGCGAAAGCGUGGGGGAGCAAACGG
rnacentral:rRNA from 1 species